UGUCCAGCAACUCCUAUCCCUACCUCCACGCGGUACCGGCCGGAAACUAUGAGCAACCUUAGGGAAGAUCGGGUAGCCAACCCCGGUGGGAACUUUGGUCGUAGGCUGACAGGGAAGG
rnacentral:ribozyme from 1 species